AUACGGAGGGUGCAAGCGUUAUUCGGAAUCACUGGGCGUAAAGGACGCGUAGGCGGGUUGGCAAGUCAGAUGUGAAAUCCUACAGCUUAACUGUAGAACUGCAUUUGAAACUGCUAACCUAGAGUAUGGGAGGGGGAGAUGGAAUUAGUGGUGUAGGGGUAAAAUCCGUAGAUAUCACUAGGAAUACCGAAAGCGAAGGCGAUCUCCUGGAACAUAACUGACGCUAAGGCGUGGAAGCGUGGGGAGCAAACAGGAUUAGAUACCCCAGUAGUCC
rnacentral:rRNA from 1 species